CGAAACCAGGUGAUCUACCCAUGUCCAGGAUGAAGGUAAGGUAAUACUUACUGGAGGUCCGAACCCACGCACGUUGAAAAGUGCGGGGAUGAGGUGUGGGUAGCGGAGAAAUUCCAAUCGAACUUGGAGAUAGCUGGUUCUCUCCGAAAUAGCUUUAGGGCUAGCCUCGAGGUAAAGAGUCAUGGAGGUAGAGCACUGUUUGGACUAGGGGCCCUUCUCGGGUUACCGAAUUCAGAUAAACUCCGAAUGCCAUGUACUUAUACUCGGGAGUCAGACUGCGAGUGAUAAGAUCCGUAGUCGAAAGGGAAACAGCCCAGACCACCAGUUAAGGUCCCCAAAUAUAUGUUAAGUGGAAAAGGAUGUGGGGUUGCUUAGACAACCAGGAUGUUGGCUUAGAAGCAGCCACCAUUGAAAGAGUGCGUAAUAGCUCACUGGUCGAGUGACCCCGCGCCGAAAAUGUACCGGGGCUAAACAUAUUACCGAAACUGUGGAUGAACCUCUUUAGAGGUUCGUGGUAGGAGAGCGUUCUAAGGGCGGUGAAGUCAGACCGGAAGGACUGGUGGAGCGCUUAGAAGUGAGAAUGCCGGUAUGAGUAGCGAAAGAAGGGUGAGAAUCCCUUCCACCGAAUAUCUAAGGUUUCCUGAGGAAGGCUCGUCCGCUCAGGGUUAGUCGGGACCUAAGCCGAGGCCGAUAGGCGUAGGCGAUGGACAACAGGUAGAGAUUCCUGUACCAGUGCUAAUUGUUUAACCGAUGGGGUGACACAGAAGGAUAGGGAAUCGCACGAAUGGAAAUGUGCGUCCAAGCA
rnacentral:rRNA from 1 species